rnacentral:lncRNA from 1 species
UGCAUGUGUGUGAGUUCAGGUGACGCGGAACGCGGGCGUGCCCGGGGUGGAGUGGAGAUGUGUGAUGCUACGAGCGCCACGAUGAUCUGUACCCGUGCACACCACGCAUGGGACUUUGGGUCCUCUGUACGGCUGCGCCCGUCGGUUCCGACGAGGACCCAUCGACCUGCCUUCGUUCUAUGCACACACACCUUCUUCUUUUGCGGGGAGUUGCACGAACGCCUUGCAAGUUGGUGAUUUGCUACUAGUAUCUGAGAAUGCUGGGUUUCCACAAAUGGGAUUAACUAACCCCAUCCCACUUACUACCUCCGUCACGCCUUGCAAGUUGGUGAUUUGCUAUUUUUUUUAUAAAGACCAUAUAUGUUAAUAUUGCGAAGAUAUCAACUACACACGACCUCUGCAACAACGCAAUGUCCUACUG